UUGGUUCCUUGGAAUUCAUGCCUCUUAGAAGAGCUUUCAACGGAAAGGACAUUUCUCAAAACUGUGUAGAGAAUGGAACAGCUUGAUACAGAACCAAAGCCUCUGUAAUUGGUACCUCAUUGGGAUGCACAACCGAUUCAGGUCUUACACUGAGUAAAGGGCCCAUGUCAAGACUUGGAUUGAAUGUCCCCGUAAUUGGAUCCAAUUGGUUCUUUACUUCAAGAUCACCUAAAUGUUGAAUUGGUCAUUUUUCUUUUUGCUGACUUCUUGUAAGGACAGCUUGAACUACUUCUACCCGAUGAAUUGGUGAAUCUUGAGGACCUUGAUUUAUCUCCUCCAUUUUUCCUUGGCUUUGGAUUUGCUUAUUUCGAUUAUUGAAAUUGAACGGAGCAUUAUAUUGUUGAUAAGUAUGUCCCAACUCCUUGCAAUUCACACAUAC
rnacentral:lncRNA from 1 species